rnacentral:rRNA from 1 species
GAUGAACGCUGGCGGCGUGCCUAAUACAUGCAAGUCGAACGCAUCACUUCGGUGGUGAGUGGCGAACGGGUGAGUAACACGUAGAUAACCUGCCCUUAAGACGAGGAUAACCAUUGGAAACGAUGGCUAAAACUGGAUAGGAAUAUUGGAGGCAUCUCUGAUAUUUUAAAAGACCUAGUAAUAGGUAUACUUAAGGAGGGGUCUGCGGCGCAUUAGUUAGUUGGUGAGGUGAUGGCUUACCAAGACGAUGAUGCGUAGCCGGACUGAGAGGUUGAACGGCCACAUUGGGACUGAGAAACGGACCAAACUCCAACGGGAGGCAGCAGUAGGGAAUUUUCGGCAAUGGGGGAAACCCUGACCGAGCAACGCCGCGUGAAUGACGAAGUACUUCGGUAUGUAAAGUUCUUUUAUCAGGGAAGAAUGACUUAUGGAAAAAUAAGUGUGACGGUACCUGAUGAAUAAGCCCCGGCUAACUAUGUG